rnacentral:rRNA from 1 species
UUUGGUGCCUUCGGGAACUCUGAGACAGGUGCUGCAUGGCUGUCGUCAGCUCGUGUUGUGAAAUGUUGGGUUAAGUCCCGCAACGAGCGCAACCCUUAUCCUUUGUUGCCAGCGGUUCGGCCGGGAACUCAAAGGAGACUGCCAGUGAUAAACUGGAGGAAGGUGGGGAUGACGUCAAGUCAUCAUGGCCCUUACGAGUAGGGCUACACACGUGCUACAAUGGCGUAUACAAAGAGAAGCGACCUCGCGAGAGCAAGCGGACCUCAUAAAGUACGUCGUAGUCCGGAUUGGAGUCUGCAACUCGACUCCAUGAAGUCGGAAUCGCUAGUAAUCGUAGAUCAGAAUGCUACGGUGAAUACGUUCCCGGGCCUUGUACACACCGCCCGUCACACCAUGGGAGUGGGUUGCAAAAGAAGUAGGUAGCUUAACCUUCGGGAGGGCGCUUACCACUUUGUGAUUCAUGACUGGGGUGAAGUCGUAACAAGGUAACCGUAGGGGAACCUGCGGUUGGAUCACCUCCUUACCUAAAGA